rnacentral:lncRNA from 1 species
UGGAGUUUCUACCCUAGCAUGAAAGGAGGAAGAGAGAAAAUCGGCUCCAGGUGGUUAUGUUGAACAUGUAAAUAUUCUCCCUGCUGUGAGUAUUACUGCAGCUGCCCAAAGAUGCUAUAUUUUAAAGAUGUGGAUACAGGAAGAUAAAAGCAUCAGAAACACUGCAUGAGGGUGGAGCAGGCAUGGAGAGCAACCCUACAAGGGCAGUCAAUAAAGGAAAGACAUUUGAUCUUAGCCAAAAGGCUGAGAAUUGAUUAAUAAAGGAUAGAAACAAGGUAUGUGUGCUUACAUGUAUUCUAUCAUUGUUGGGUAU